GUGGCGGACGGGUGAGUAACGCGUGGGUAACCUGCCUUGUACUGGGGGACAACAGUUGGAAACGACUGCUAAUACCGCAUAAGCCCACGGAUCCGCAUGGAUCUGCGGGAAAAGGAUUUAUUCGCUUCAGGAUGGACUCGCGUCCAAUUAGCUAGUUGGUGAGGUAACGGCCCACCAAGGCGACGAUUGGUAGCCGGACUGAGAGGUUGAACGGCCACAUUGGGACUGAGACACGGCCCAGACUCCUACGGGAGGCAGCAUG
rnacentral:rRNA from 1 species